UACGUAGGGUGCAAGCGUUGUCCGGAAUUAUUGGGCGUAAAGAGCUCGUAGGCGGUUUGUCGCGUCGAAUGUGAAAACCCGGGGCUCAACCCCGGGCCUGCAUUCGAUACGGGCAGACUAGAGUUCGGUAGGGGAGUCUGGAAUUCCUGGUGUAGCGGUGAAAUGCGCAGAUAUCAGGAGGAACACCAGUGGCGAAGGCGGCUACCUGGACAGAUACUGACGCUGAGGCGCGAGAGCGUGGGGAGCAAACAGG
rnacentral:rRNA from 1 species